rnacentral:lncRNA from 1 species
GGGAGGGCCAAGCUGGGAAUUCUGCUGUUCUAAAGUGGGGUUGAGCUUUUACAGGAUGGGGUGAUGGGGGUUUUAUCUGUUCUUCAGUUAGGAUUGCUGCCCUCUGGCUCCUCCCAGGAAAUGUUUCCUGGCAGUGCCAGUUGCUCUUGGGGUUUCAUAUCCUCUUGGGGUUUCAUUUCGGGGUGUUUGAGUCAGGCUGCUCUCAGUGUUCCCCACCACUGGCAGCCUGCUAAUUUUCUCAGGUGAAAUCUGAGCUAAUUUUCUCAGUUAGGUGAAAUCUGAACUGUUUCACCCUAAUUGCAUCCCUGCAGCAGGGAGGGAUUCACGGACACAUCCAAAGCAGGGCAGAAAGAGCCGAGGGUCACAGUGGGGAGGGGGAGCAGCAAGGGAAGCAGAAGAUCCCAGUCCUCAGCAGUGACCAUUCCUAUUUCAGCCCAGGGGCUCCAGACCCUUCCCUGGCUCCGGUGACGCCCCGUGGAAGGAGGAGGAGAGAUGGGGACCCCACUACUGCCCCCCGCCACCCCCCUGGGGUGACAGAGAAGAAUUCCAAGGGCCUGAGGACGGCUUUGGAGACAGCUGGCACCUGGUGAGGGGGACACGGGCUGGGGGUGGCAGCCACAUGUCCCCCUCAUGUCACCUCGCUGCCCAGGUGACAAGGACAGUGUGGGGACCCUCUGCAGUCACAGCAUCCCCUGCCCCGUUCCCUGCAGGAUGUGCUCCCUGAUUCCUGGCCUGGAUUUCCUGAGGAGGAGCAGCCCCCACCCUGGCCCCCCACCGGCCCUCCACGGAACCCAGGAGCUUUCCAGGAACACCGCCCGCCCUGGAGCCACCACCCGGCUGGGAGACGCCGCCUCCGCAGGAGCCACCACCGGCAGCUGACCGUGGUCCCCCGGGCAUGGUGUCCCCCAGCCCCCCGAGGGCACAAGCAACACUCCAAGCGCUCUCCUGCCAUCUCCAACUCGAGCCAGCCAGCGGCCAGGAAGGAGCCACAGCCCCCGGAUCCUGCCCAGCCCCUGGAUCCUGCCCAGCCCCAGGGUCCUGCCCAGCCCCAGGGUCCUGCCCAGCCCCAGGAUCCUGCCCAGCCCCCGGAUCCUGCCCAGACCCCUGCUCCCCUCCAAGGUGCUGCGGAGACGCCGGAACAGCCGCAGGAUGUGCCAGUGGGGACUGGGAAUGUCCUGGAGCCCCCCAGUCCUGCUGGGAGCCCUCUGGAGAGCCCGGCUGCCGAUGCCGGUGCUGCGGAGCCGCCGGUUGAGCUGGAAGCUGGGCAGACCCCUGUGGGCAGCCAGGACCAUGAUCCCUGUGCUUUGGGGACAGAUCCAACCCCUCCAGAGGAGACCUCCAGCUAUCCCCAGAUCCAGGAGCACCUUGAGGUAGAGCCGUGCAGUCCCGGUGUCCCCAAGGCUGGCACCGCUCAUGGGUCACAUCCCCAGAGCCCAGCAGCCCCUCCACACCCUGCCAGGAGGGAACUCCUGGAAUCCAGCUCCUCUGGAGAGGCAGGGGCUGAGCUCAGCCCACAUUCCUGGGAGCAGCCGCCGCGUGGAGCUGGAGAAGCCGAGGCAGAAGCUGCCCAGGAUGGGCCUCUGCAGAGCCUUCAGCUGCCCAAAAACCCUCAGGUCCCUCCAGCAUCUGCAGCAGAACCCGAGGCCCAGCCCAGCCAGGCUUCUCCUGGUGCCUGCACCACACCAGAGACCUCUGCAGGGCCCCAGCACCCGCCUGGGUCCGGUGAGACAAACCCGGCUGUGUCUGGCCAGCAGCAGCACUGCUCCACGCUCCCCACACCAUUCCCGGCCGGCGUCGACUUACGCUCUGCCACCGUCCUCGCCAAGAAGGCAGAGAUCGAGCAGGUGAGCCCUGGCAGCCCCUGGAUGAGCACCUGGAGGCCUGGGAGAGGCUGCAGGAUGGGGGAUCUCACCUGAGGAUCUUCAGGAGCGAUGCUGGGUGGUGGGGGGU